rnacentral:rRNA from 1 species
CGGUAAUUCCAGCUCCAAUAGCGUAUAUUAAAGUUGUUGCAGUUAAAAAGCUCGUAGUUGGAUUUCUGCGGGGACGGAGCGGCCGGUCGCAACUUGCGACUCGAGCUAGCGCUUUCCCCGCAUCCUGCCGCGAACCGUGCUACCAUUAGUUUGGUGGCGCUGGGGAUCGGCUCGAUUACUUUGAGAAAAAUAGAGUGUUCAAAGCAGGCCACACGCCUUGAAUAAGUUAGCAUGGAAUAAUGACUAAGGACUUCGGUUCUAUUUUGUUGGUGUUCGGGACUGAAGUAAUGAUUGAUAGGGACAGUUGGGGCGGUCUGUAUUCCAAAGCGAGAGGUGAAAUUCUUAGACCUUCGGAAGACAAACAGCUGCGAAAGCGUUCCGCAAGGAUGUUCCCUUUGAUCAAGAACGAAAGUUGGGGGAUCGAAGACGAUCAGAUACCGUCGUAGUCUCAACUAUAAACUAUACCAGCUAGGGAUCGGUCAACGUUUAAUUAUUCGACUUGAUCGGCACCUUAUGAGAAAUCAAAGCAUCUGGGUUCCGGGGGGAGUAUGGUCGCAAGGCUGAAACUUAAAGGAAUUGACGGAAGGGCACCACCAGCCGUGGAGCCUGUGGCUUAAUUUGACUCAACACGGGAAAACUUACCAGGUCCAGACAUAGUAAGGAUUGACAGAUUGAUAGCUCUUUCUUGAUUCUGUGGGUGGUGGUGCAUGGCCGUUCUUAGUUGGUGGAGUGAUUUGUCUGGUUAAUUCCGUUAACGAACGAGACCCCAGCCUGCUAAAUAGCGCGGCUGAGCUUUGCUCGGUGCGAGCUUCUUAGAGGGACUAUGAUGCGCGAUAGCACAUGGAAGUUUGGGGCAAUAACAGGUCUGUGAUGCCCUUAGAUGUUCUGGGCCGCACACGGGCUACACUGGCGCCUGCAACGAGCAUAUCAGCUGGCCCGAGAGGGUCUUGGCUAAUCUUUUGAACCGGCGCCGUGCUUGGGAUUGACCUUUGCAAUUGUUGGUCAUGCAACGAGGAAUGCCUUGUAAACGCGAGUCAUCAGCUCGCAUUGAAUACGUCCCUGCCCUUUGUACACACCGCCCGUCGCUCCUACCGAUGAAUGUUCCGAUGAAAUUUUCGGAGAGCGCCAGAGAACGGGGCUCUGCCUUGCAGAUCUGGAGGCUCAAAGUCACUUAAAUCUGAACAUUUCGAGGAGGGAGAAGUCGUAACAAGGUAGCCG